CCCUAGUAACUGCGAGUGAAGCGGGAAAAGCUCAAAUUUAAAAUCUGGCGGUCUUUGUCCGUCCGAGUUGUAAUUUAGAGAAGCGUCUUCCGCGCCGGACCGUGCACAAGUCUCCUGGAAUGGAGCGUCAUAGAGGGUGAGAAUCCCGUCUUUGGCAUGGAGCCCCCGGGGCUUCUGUGAUGCGCUCUCAAAGAGUCGAGUUGUUUGGGAAUGCAGCUCAAAAUGGGUGGUGAACUCCAUCUAAAGCUAAAUAUUGGCGAGAGACCGAUAGCGAACAAGUACCGUGAGGGAAAGAUGAAAAGCACUUUGGAAAGAGAGUGAAACAGUACGUGAAAUUGUUGAAAGGGAAACGCUUGGAGUCAGUCGCGUCGACCGAGACUCAGCCUCGCCUCGGCUUGGUGUACUUCUCGGCUUGACGGGCCAGCAUCAAUUUCAUCCUUUGGAUAAUGACGAGGGAAAGGUAGCACCCUUAUGGGUGUGUUAUAGUCUCUUGUCGCAUGCAAGGGGUGGGAUUGAGGAACUCAGCACGCGCCUUCUAGGUGUCGGGGCUUUUUGGCCCACGUUUUACGUGCUUAGGAUGCUGGCGUAAUGGCUUCAAACGACCCGUCUUGAAACACGGACCAAGGAGUCUAACAUGCCUGCAAGUGUUCGGGUGGAAAACCCGUGUGCGAAAUGAAAGUAAAAGUUGGGACCUCUGUCGUGGAGGGCACCGACGCCUGGACCAGACCUUCUGUGACGGAUCUACGGUAGAGCAUGCAUGUUGGGACCCGAAAGAUGGUGAACUAUGCCUGAAUAGGGUGAAGCCAGAGGAAACUCUGGUGGAGGCUCGUAGCGAUUCUGACGUGCAAAUCGAUCGUCAAAUUUGGGUAUAGGGGCGA
rnacentral:rRNA from 1 species